GUUCAGAUGAAUUAUCUUCACCUCCACCGCCUGCACCUUCAGGUUCUUCGGGGGGACUCUGCACACUUUGUAUGUGACCUCAUCGCCCUCAACGGGAACAUAUUCCCCAUCGAUGCUGAAACAGAAGACAAAAGAAGAGUCAUCACGUGUCAACGGCCACUCACUCUGAGAUGUGAACAAAGACGUCUUCGCCGCCACGGCUGGGUCGGAUAAACCCGUGCCCCUGCGACCUUGAAAAGUUCUUACAAACGCCCUUGAACACCGGACCCGAGUGAGCACGGACGGUGCUGUGUGCACACAAAGACAGGGUUGGGGAAAAGAAUUCAAAUGUUAUCAAUUACAUUUUGUGCGGCGGAAACGGAAAAAGAAACAAACUAAAGUAAAGAAAUGCGGAAAUGAAAAAGAGAUGAGGAUGCCACUUAACACACCUUCCUCAUUGUGUCGCGCACACAACAGAAGGGGAGAUGACUCAAUAAGAAGAUUCACCCCACAUUCUCUGUUGGCCUAAACACUGUCAGAAGCACUGACUUACAUUUUACAACCUCAAUUCCAAUAUUUUUUCCAUUAAAUGUAUUAUUAAUUUA